CUCAAGAGUCCUUUGCUGUUCGCUGUGACAAACUAAGCCAGAAAGCCCUCAAAUAUAUAGAAGAAGGUGCAGAAUCAACGCAUAUUUAUAAUGUGGCAAUGAAUGCUCUCCAUGAGGCCACAAGGAAGGUUGCUGCUGCAAAGAAACAAGGUCUUGUGCCUAUACAGAAUACUUUGGUUAAUGGCAGUCAGCAGCUGCAGCCGUGCUGUCUGGAUCAGGACAAGAAAAUUCAGGAAUUGACUGAUGAAUUGAAGCAUGCAAG
rnacentral:misc_RNA from 1 species